CUGCUCAGAUCUCUUUCUUCCACCAUCUCUCAUCUCGACCUCCACAAGCUUUCAAACAACUUUGCCAACAUGUCAGGGUACGAUGAUGCUCCAAAGCUCUUGGCGUCAAUAUAUUUGCUCAAGGAUGUCUUUGACCAGUACGCUGGACAAGGUGGAGACUCACAGACUUUGACCAAGAAAGACCUCUCUGAGAUGCUCCGCAAAGAGCUUCGUUUGAAUGUCUCAGACUGCCCUGAGGCAGAAGAAUACUUCAACCGACUGGAUGCCAACGGGGAUGGUACUGUUGAUUUCGAGGAGUAUCUCACUCUGGUGGGAGGACUCGCUUUGAUCCUAAGCGCCAUGUACAAUCAACAGUAAUCCAUGUACAGUCACAUGUAUAAAAUAUAUUCCAUCAUCAUAUGCUCUGACAAGGAAAACAUGGUUAAUAAACACACAGAUGAAUCAUAGAUGGGUUAUUAUGUAGUCUUGCAGGACUUGAAAUGUGAUGUCUCUGAGUGUGUUUUGCUGAUUCUGAAUGUCAGAGGUGAUUAACAAAGAAGCAAAAAUAAAUGUUGCCUCCUUUUACUGAAUGUUUUGUGUGUGUUCCUUAACAAAUUACAGAUAUUGUGCAAACUGAGUCAUCUGACCCUCUCUGUUGCACGGUGGAGGAAUGUAAUAGAUACAUUCACUCAAUUACUGUCCUUAAGUACAAUUUUAUUUAUAUAUUUAUUUAUUUAUUUAUUUAUUUUGUUACAUUAUACUUCUACUCCACUGCAUUUAUCUCACAACAACACUGGUUAAUUUGCAGAUUCAGAUUAUUGUUGCAAAUAUAAUCAACAAAUAAAUCAUCAUGUAUUAUUAUGGAUAAAGAUAAAACUUUUUGAUUUCUCGCUGAAAUUGACAAGCUACCAAACAGUUUAUAGUAAACAACUAGCCUCACCUUUACCAGGUGCAGAAUUAAAGUGAUGUUUACAUUAAUGCAUCAAAUCAAAUCAAAUCAAAUGCCUUUAUUGUCAUUGGCAGCUGUACAAUGAAAGUCAAGUGCAACUCCCUUGUGGUAAAAAAAAAAAAAGACAAAAAGACAACACACAACACGCAACUUGACAUAACAGCAAGAGUUACAUAAACAAAUAAGCAGCAGUAAUAAAUAAAAGCUGUAAAAACAAAAACAAUGUUCUGCACACACGCCCAUCUGCACCCCCCCACAAGAUUAUGAGUUCAGUUCUUUUAUGGCACUCGGAUAAAAACUAUUUGUGAGUCUAGAGGUGCGGGCCCGAAUGGACCUGUAGCGCCUCCCAGAAGGCAGCAUUGCAAACAGACAGUUUCCUGGGUGAGAACAGUCCUGGAUUAUGUUUUCUGCACGGCGCAGGCAUCUGGCAUGUAUAUGUCAGACAGAUAGGGAAGCUGUGACCUUAUGAUGUCCUGUGCUGACUUCCUAACUCUAUCCAGAGCUUUUUUUGUCAGCCACAGUGCAGCUUUUACUGUAAACCACACCAAGAUGUCGUGGGGGAUGAUGCUCUCCACAGAACAUUUGUGGAAGGACAGCAGCAGUUCCUGGGACAGGUUGACUUUCCUUGGUGACCUCAAAAAGUACAGUCGCUGCUGUGCUUUUUUCACGAGGGCAGUGGUGUUGACAGUCCAUGUGAGGUCCUGAGAGAUGUAUGUGCCUGGGAAUUUAAAGUCACUGACCCUCUCCACGAUGUCCCCUUUGAUGUAAAGAGGGGCAGGUUCCUCCCUGCCAGAUUGUUGACAGAGCACCAAGCAGUCAAUAAUUCUAAUCUAAUAAUAUACAAACAUAUUAUUCUGAAAUUGGCUGUUCUGCAUAAUGAGAAGCCUACUUUUACUUUUGGUACAAAUAAAGCUAUAGCUUCCACUUAAAUAAUAAAGUCAAGUAAUGGUUCCCUUAAUUGAAGUCAUGUAUAGUAAGUGAAAGCACUAGAAUAUGUUGUUAUAAGUGCUUUCCAGCUCUUGUGACCAUAUGGUUGUCGGUUUGGCCUGUUGUUAUAGAUCUGAGAUCCAGCCUGCAGAACCAGCUGCGUUCAUUUGACUAAUGAAGGUAAAUAUUCUGUAAGUGACUGUCAAUAUUUACCCUUAAAAUAAAUACUGAUAUUUGUCUGAGGUUGAGUAAAAAAAAAAAAAAAUUUAAAAAAAAAGAUGUCCUUACAGCUUAUGGAUAUACAUGAUGGUGACGUUUCAUCCUCAUGCAAACUGAAAGAUUAUACUGCCCACCACUACUUCAUACCUGACAUACUAUAGUCUAUUUUUAUGCUUAUAGGCAAAUAUGACUUGUUGCUCUCCCCCAGCAGUAUCACAGGUGGCUUACAUCAGAGGAAAAGCAAAUAAGUGUCAAUUCUAGUGUUUACAUUUUGUACAUAAAUGGGAGGAAUAAUAGAAAGAAAAAAGGAGGGGGAUAGGUAUAAAGCGGGGUGGGGACAUGGAGAAAAGGUGUGUCAAACUCUAUAUAUACAGGUUUGCGUCUGUGUUCUCUGCUCAGAUCUCUUUCUUCCACCAUCUCUCAUCUCGACCUCCACAAGCUUUCAAACAACUUUGCCAACAUGUCAGGGUACGAUGAUGUUCCAAAGCUCUUGGCGUCGAUAUAUUUGCUCAAGGAUGUCUUUGACGAGUACGCUGGAAAAGGUGGAAACCCACAGACUUUGACCAAGAGAGAACUCUCUAAGAUGCUCCGCAAAGAGCUUCGUUUGAAUGUCUCAAACUGCCCUGAGGCAGAAGAAUACUUCAACCGACUGGAUGCCAGCGGUGAUGGUACUGUUGAUUUCGAGGAGUAUGUCACUCUGGUGGGAGGACUCGCUUUGAUCUUAAACGAGAUGUACAAUCGAAAGUAAUCCAUGUAACACUACAGUCACAUCUAUAAAAUAUGUUUCAUCAUCAUAUGCUCUGACAAGGAAAACAUGGUUAAUAAACACACACAGAUGAAGAGAUGUCAGAAGUGAUUAACAAAGAAGCAAAAAUAAAUGUUGCCUCCUUUUACUGAA